CCUACGGGAGGCAGCAGUGAGGAAUUUUGCGCAAUGGGGGAAACCCUGACGCAGCAACGCCGCGUGAGUGAUGAAGGCCUUCGGGUCGUAAAGCUCUGUUGGAAGGGAAGAAAGGUGUUUAAUUAAUAAUUAAACACUUUGACGGUACCUUCCGAGGAAGCACCGGCUAACUCCGUGCCAGCAGCCGCGGUAAUACGGAGGGUGCAAGCGUUGUUCGGAAUCACUGGGCGUAAAGGGCGUGUAGGUGGCUCAUUAAGUCAGGUGUGAAAUCCUUCCGCUUAACGGAAGAAGUGAACUUGAAACUGAUGGGCUGGAGUACGGGAGAGGAAGGGGAAAUUCCUGGUGUAGAGGUAAAAUUCAUAGAUAUCGGGAAGAACACCGGUGGCGAAGGCGGCCUUCUGGC
rnacentral:rRNA from 1 species